rnacentral:tRNA from 1 species
UUGAUAUAGCAUAAGAAGUGUAUUUGUUUUAAGCGCAAAAGAUAAAAAUCAAUU